AUGAACGCUGGCGGCGUGCCUAAUACAUGCAAGUCGAGCGAACGGACGAGAAGCUUGCUUCUCUGAUGUUAGCGGCGGACGGGUGAGUAACCCUUGGAUACCCUACCUAUAAGACUGGGAUAACUUCGGGAAACCGUAGCUAAUACCGGAUAAUAUUUUGAACCGCAUGUGUCAAAAGUAAAAGACGGUCUUGCUGUCACUUAUAGAUGGAUCCGCGCUGCAUUAGCUGGUUGGUAAGGUAACGGCCUACCAAGGCAACGAUGCAUAGCCGACCUGAGAGGCGGAUAGGCCACACUGGAACUGAGACACGGUCCAGACCCCUACGGGAGGCAGCAGUAGGGAAUCGUCCGCAAUAGGCGAAAGCCUGACGGAGCAACGCCGCGUGAGUGAUGAAGGCCUUCGGAGCGUAAAACUCUGUUAUUAGGGAAGAACAGAUGUGUAAGUAACUGUGCACAUCUUGACGGUACCUAAUCAGAAAGCCACGGCUAACUACGUG
rnacentral:rRNA from 1 species